CUGUUGGUUCUGUUUACUGAGGCCUUUUUCGAUUUGAAUGUCAUUAGGGGAUUUGAUGGCCUCCAGGUUUUCGCAAUCUUCGGUGGCGGUUGUUUCAAAACAGUUGGAAGAAGAGUAUGUUUCGAGCCAUGAUGAUGUUGAUUUAAGUUCGCAGAGAAUGGAUUCGGAGACUGCUAGUAGUAGUUAUGGCAAUGGCACGACUGCCACUACCACGAGUAUGGCUUAUUUGCCUCAAACAGUGGUUUUGUGUGAAUUUCGGCAUGAGGCUUUUGAGGCUUGUCUUCCCAUCGGUCCAUCAGAUAGUGGGUUAGUCUCGAAAUGGCGACCUAAAGAUGAGUUUACUCUUAUCUUUUCAACUAAUUUCAUUUAUUUCUCUUAAUUGUUUGUUGAAAUGGGAUUCUGUGAUGUACCUUCAUCAAUUUGAAAUUUAGUUGAUAUAUAGCAUUGGUUGUGCCAAAUUGUGAGUAGAAUAACUACUAGUUUUUGUGAUCCUUUGCUUGCAGAUCCUUUUUCAAUGGCACCGCAGAAAGCUCUUAAAACAAUUGGGAAAAAUUUGAGUGCUCAGUAUGAAAGGUGGCAACCAAGGAUCUUUGAGCAAGCACGAUAUAAGGUCCAGCCUGAUCCUACUGUGGAUGAAGUGAAGAAACUUUGUAAUACAUGUCGCCGAUAUGCCAAGUCUGAGAGGGUCCUAUUUCAUUAUAAUGGACAUGGUGUGCCUAAGCCGACUUCUAGUGGUGAAAUUAUAACUUUAACUGUUUAUUUUGACAAUUUUACUUUAGAAUUUAGUACAUGAUAUCAACUUGUUGUUGCCUAAGCAUUUAGCUUCACUGUUUAGUGAAUCUCAGAGUCUUUCUGCUAUAGACUUCUUUCCCUCCAAUUGUAUAUUUAUUAAUAACAUGUAACCACUCUUAGCCACGUGUUUAGUAGGUUGGUGUUUUACGAAUGUUGUCUCACUUUUAGCAAAUUUACUCUAGUCUUGUUACAGACUUGUUGCAAUUCAGCCUUAAUUUUAUAAACUGGUUUCAUAAAGUAACUGAUGAUUCCUGGAGCUUAGUUUGUGAACAUAGUAUGUAGUUUUUAUUAAUUUAUGUUACCUACUUCUUAAGUUUAUUGUUUCAGAAGCUUCAAUCUUGGUUUCAAUGCCCAAAUGGUAAAUGGGAGCUUGCAAAAAUAUUGUCAAUCUCAGGGACUGAAUCUGUCAUUGCAUUGCCUGAUGAGAAAGUUUUAAAGGUACAAACUGAAAUUUUGGUCCCAACAAAUCCUGAUAUCCUUGAUGGUGUAGAUGAUCUCAUGCAGCUAAGUUAUCUAAAUGA